rnacentral:rRNA from 1 species
UACGUAGGGUCCGAGCGUUGUCUGGAAUUAUUGGGCGUAAAGAGCUCGUAGGCGGUUUGUCGCGUCUGCUGUGAAAUCCCGAGGCUCAACCUCGGGCCUGCAGUGGGUACGGGCAGACUUGAGUGGUGUAGGGGAGACUGGAAUUCCUGGUGUAGCGGUGGAAUGCGCAGAUAUCAGGAGGAACACCGAUGGCGAAGGCAGGUCUCUGGGCACUUACUGACGCUGAGGAGCGAAAGCGUGGGGAGCGAACAGG